GAAGAGAUUUUUGAGGUAACAUAUUUGAGGGGUCAGUAGAAAGGUGCUGGAAGUAGAUGGGAAAAAAAAAAAAAAACAACUAAAUUUUACAAUGUUGCAGAUGGGCCAUUGUAUCAACAUCAGUAAAGUAACCUCAGGCCCUUGUUUUCAGGGAACUGAAACACCAGCGUGGUAGAAUAUGGAAUUGUUCAGUGAGGAGCUGAGUAAUAGAAAAAAGUUAUUAAAGCGUGGAUUAGCAGAAAAUCUAGUAUCAAAAGCAAUCUGAAUUUUAAGCUGAAUGAUUUAUGAUGUGAAGACAAUAUUGGUAUAACAUUAUGAAUGUGAUACUGCAUUUGAGAAUUAGGAGCAUCAUUUAUGAAGAUACAGAUUUUAAAGAUGCAUUCUGCCAAGUGAAGGCUCCUGAGCUUUCCUGAAGACAGUGCAAACAACAGGUGUUUAGAGCUAGACAAAACAUUUGAAAUUCUUUAAUUUUCCAGCAUUUUCAUCAUUCAGAAUAAGCUGAAGAAUAACAGUGAAGUGCUGUAAGUAAAACUGAAAAUAUUGUCCUGGCACUAAGGGU
rnacentral:lncRNA from 1 species